rnacentral:rRNA from 1 species
GUAGGGAAUAUUGGACAAUGGGCGCAAGCCUGAUCCAGCCAUGCCGCGUGCAGGAAGACGCAUCUAUGGUGUGUAAACUGCUCUUGUACGGGAAGAAACACUCCCUCGUGAGGGAGCUUGACGGUACCGUAAGUAUAAGGAUCGGCUAACUCCGUGCCAGCAGCCGCGGUAAUACGGAGGAUCCAAGCGUUAUCCGGAAUCAUUGGGUUUAAAGGGUCCGUAGGCGGUUUAAUAAGUCAGUGGUGAAAGCCCAUCGCUCAACGAUGGAACGGCCAUUGAUACUGUUAGACUUGAAUUACAAGGAAGUAACUAGAAUAUGUAGUGUAGCGGUGAAAUGCUUAGAUAUUACAUGGAAUACCAAUUGCGAAGGCAGGUUACUACUUGUGGAUUGACGCUGAUGGACGAAAGCGUGGGGAGCGAACAGGAUUAGAAACCCCAGUAGUCC